GUCACAUUAAACGAAUACCAUUCACGUAAGACACAAUGAAGGUCAUUGUACUCACCCUCCUCGUAUGUGCUGUAUUGGCUGUGAGUGUUACAGGAGCACCACGCAAAAGACUUUUAGAAUUCCUCUCGCAUCUGGGUAACGGUGACAAAAAUAAUUGUCCAACAAAGUGUGCUACUGACCCCUGUAAAGUAUGUACCUAUCCCCAGGGUCAUGGUGCCACUUGCAAGAAAGGAAAAUGUUGUACGGCUGUAUGGACAGAUGUUGCUGGGCAUACACUAACUUGUUAAAUCGUAGAAAACUGAAACUAAUUGAAAUAAAUAU